UACGUAGGCAGCAAGCGUUGUUCGGAAUUACUGGGCGUAAAGAGUGCGUAGGCGGUUAACUAAGUUUGGUGUGAAAUCUCCCGGCUCAACUGGGAGGGUGCGCCGAAAACUGGCUAGCUAGAGUGCGGGAGAGGAUAGUGGAAUUCCUGUGUAGCGGUGAAAUGCGUAGAUAUGCGGAGGAACACCAGCGGCGAAGGCGGCUUUCUGGACCAAUACUGACGCUGAGACGCGAAAGCGUGGGGAGCAAACAGGAUUAGAAACCCGGGUAGU
rnacentral:rRNA from 1 species